CCUACGGGAGGCAGCAGUGGGGAAUUUUGGACAAUGGGCGCAAGCCUGAUCCAGCAAUGCCGCGUGAGUGAAGAAGGCCUUCGGGCUGUAAAGCUCUUUUGUCAGGGAAGAAACGGUGGGGGCUAAUAUCCCUUGCUAAUGACGGUACCUGAAGAAUAAGCACCGGCUAACUACGUGCCAGCAGCCGCGGUAAUACGUAGGGUGCAAGCGUUAAUCGGAAUUACUGGGCGUAAAGCGUGCGCAGGCGGUUUUGUAAGUCUGUCGUGAAAGCCCCGGGCUUAACCUGGGAAUUGCGAUGGAGACUGCAAGGCUUGAAUCUGGCAGAGGGGGGUAGAAUUCCACGUGUAGCAGUGAAAUGCGUAGAGAUGUGGAGGAACACCGAUGGCGAAGGCAGCCCCCUGGGUCAAGAUUGACGCUCAUGUACGAAAGCGUGGGGAGCAAACAGGAUUAGAUACCCUGGUAGUCCACGCCCUAAACGAUGUCUACUAGUUGUCGGGUCUUAAUUGACUUGGUAACGCAGCUACGCGUGAGUAGACCGCCGNGGGAGGUACGGUCGGUCGAGAGUUAAACGUACGAAGGAAGUUAGACGGCGUUGAGACGUUGCCGACGGACGACGACGAGGGAGGAGG
rnacentral:rRNA from 1 species